rfam:Merops nubicus contig47554, whole genome shotgun sequence.
AAACUGGUUUUUUUUAAAACCACCUUACGAGACUUUACAGCUUCAG